AUGACACCCUCUGCACCCUCUGCACCUUCCACCAAAAACCAGCCUCCCAUCAUCACACCAUCAAUCUUACACCUCCACAAUCAGACCCUACCUCCACCACUUGAAAUAACACCUCCUUUCCUAAAUCCAACAGAUUAUCCUGUCACUUUUCCUUCAACCCAGACAGCCUCCCCUGUCCUUCCAUCUGAACCCCCCACAAAAACUUUUACCCCGACAUCUUUUGUCAAUUCCCCUGCUGGUACAGACCAACUUAAGCUGUUCUUUGAGAGAUUCCCCUCGUGGGUGGAAUAUCAAGACCUGAAAGAGACUUUCGGGAAGUUUGGUCGGGUUGUCAAACUGUUUUUGUCCAAACGAAAAAUAGUUCUUGGCCGACGUUUUGGUUUUGUGGAAAUACUAUUACCCCUGCCUGUGUCUGAUCUUUGUAACCAAGCCAGUAACGUUUGGUUUGAUUCCUAUAAGUUGAGAGUGAACCCAGCUAACCUUCAAUUCUCUAAACCUCCCCUGCCAACACCACCUCAUAAACCCUUACCCAAACCUGCAUCACAUCAUAAACCCCAACUUAUGUUAAGAAAUAACAGAUCCUAUGCUGAGGUACUCACAUCCAAACCACAACAGAUGGUCACAAAGACGAGGAGAAUAAUACAGUACAACUCCACGGAUGAGGAUAAGGAAUGGUUGCAUAGGAGCUUAGUGGGAAAUAUCUUGCCAAAUGUGGAUGUAGCAACACUGGAGGCAACGGUUUUAAAAUCAAGUGUCAAAGCUGUGAGCUUUCGUUUUUUAGGAGCUAGCCAGGUGAUUAUUACCUAUGUGGAUCAGUUAGCCUCAGUGCAAGAACAAAGGAAUAAAGUAUUUGUGCUGCAUUCUCUAUUCAGCAAUCUCAGACAGUGGGAAACAAGGACUAGAGCAUAUGACAGAUUUGCUUGGAUCUCCAUAUUUGGUUUGCCAAUGGAAGGGUGGAACAGAAACUGUAUCAAUAUUUUGCUUCAGAACUGGGGAAAUAUUGUAGGAUACGACACUUCCUGUGUUAGUUAGGGGUCCAUAUCAGGUAUUAGGGUUCUUAUUCGAACCACAAAGCUGGAACCUUUACAUGAUCAAGUGUUGCUCCAGCUUGAUGGAGUGCAGGUUGAGGUCAGUUUGAAAGAAAUCAAAGGUGAGUUUAUCCCCUCUCUCACAACAGUCAAACACUCCAUGGAUGUAUCAUUGUGCUCAACAUUUGUGCUAUCUAAUGACGAUGAAGAUGAUUUUUUUGAGGAAACUAAUAGAGCAGCAACGACUCACGAAGAGACAAAACAAAGACCCGAAUUUGAAUCCGAUUUCACUGGUUUGUUGGGCACCCAAACUCAGCUUGCUAGCACACUCACCACGUCUGAAGUUUCACCGUGGUACCUCUACCCAGAAAUUAUUGAAAUCUGCAAACAUGCGGCUUUAUCUGAUGAGAGUACGCAUGAAGGCGAUAACCAGUUAGCCUUGGUACCUUACGUAUAUGUCGAGGUGGAUUCAGUUGCAUGCAGAGGGGUGGCUACGCAAAAAAUUUCUUGCUUUACUGCUAAGGAUGGGCUGAAUCAACAUAUAAAUUAUGACAGUGGACUCCAACAGCAGAUGGGCCAUAAGAAAAAGCAGAAAUCAACGGGCAUUGGGCCAUCUUUUACAACCUUCAUCACUCCUAUUGCUGAUCCAUAUGAGCUUAGUGCUCUGGAAGUAGGAAACAAGAAAUCUCACAGAAAAAAAGCAACGAAGCUCACACGCAGAUCACACUCUCUUAGGAGGAGGAAAUCACGUCAAAUGGGAAAACAAAGUGGUAAGCAAUCAGAGACCGUAAUUGUUGAAUACUCAAUUUUUGAUAAUGGGAUAAAGAACAGAAAUGCUAUUAUCAAAGCUGGUAAGGAAUUGAUUGGUGAGGAUGAGGCAAGUAGUUCAAGUUAUAGACCCGACAACAAUGCUGGUGAUGAAGCAAAUGAGCCUGCACAUUUUGAUAAAAGGGCAGAAGCCACUGCUUGCUGGGAAGUUGGACAAGCUAUUCUCCAAGGGCAUGACGAUAGCACACUCAUGACUCAGACACUACAGGGAUUCCUAGACCGAGAGCAGGAAGAGUGGAUCCUAAGGAAGAAGCCGUGAUUUGCUUCCGUAAAUAGUCUGAAGGAAUAUGAUUCAGAGCUUUUGGAGUUCAAUCAUGGUUUCAAAAUCUGGCACAAGGAAAAUGGUCCCAGCUUUAAAGAUGUUGAAAGAGAGAUGUCGGCAAUGGAGUAAAGCUAAUGUGGGAAGCAUGAAUAACAGAAUUGCAGAACUGGAACUUGAAGCUGACUCAAUGGAUCGUAAAAAUGAGUGCAGGGUCUUGAGUGCUGAUGAACUGAUUAGAAGUAAUUCCAUUGCCUCCCGGCUCAAAAUCCUGUAUAAAGCUCAAGAGUCUGCCUGGCAUCAGAAGUCAAGAAUUCAGUGGUGUAAGCUUGGAGAUAAAAAUACUCGAUUCUUUCAUUUAGCUGCAACAACAAGACAUAAAAAGAAUCAGCUUGCAUGCCUGGAGGUUGAUGGUCAGAUCCUAUCUAAACCAAUUGAUGUGAAGCUAGCUGUCUUUAACUUUUUUCGCAACCUAUACUCCCACCAGAACAGACCUAGAGCUUCAUGUUCAAACCUGGAAUUCUCAAGGCUGAAGCCUUCAUCCUCGGCUGCUCUUGAAUUGCCUUUUUCUGCAGAUGAGAUUAAAACAGCUGUGUGGGAUUGUGAUGGAAAUAAAGCUCCAGGUCCUGAUGGUAUUAACUUCCUUUUCAUCAAGAAAGCAUGGAACAUUAUAGGUGAGGACAUUAUCUAGAUGGUUGAUGAAUUCUAUCGGACUAAUCUCCUUCCUGCUAGUAUCAAUAGCACCUUUGUUACUCUUAUUCCGAAGAUUAAAGGUGCUAACAAGCUAUCAGAUUUCAGACCUAUUAGUUUGGUUGGCAGCCUAUACAAGAUCAUCUCAAAGAUUCUAGCAACCAGGUUGAAACAUGUUAUGCCAGAGGUCAUCUCUCAUCAUCAAAAUGCUUUCAUCAAAGGGAGGCAAAUUUUAGACAGCGUCUUGAUUGCAAAUGAGGUCCUUUCUUUCAUUAAGAAGAAAAAGGGUAAAGCUUAUCUCUUCAAAUUAGAUUUUCAUAAAGCCUUCGAUUCGGUGUUAUGGGAAUAUAUUAAUGAAAUCAUGGCUAGUAUGGGCUUUGGUAAUAGAUGGCGAGGGUGGAUUAUGCAAUGCAUAUCAAUGGCAAAAAUGUCUGUGCUUGUUAAUGGGUCUCCCACCGAGGAAUUCUGCUUAGCUAAAGGCCUUCGCCAAGGAGACCCUCUCUCCCCAUUUCUCUUCAACAUUGCAGUCCAGGGGUUGAGUUGUAUGUUACAGCGUGGCUGUGAUUUGGGUUUGACUUCAGGUAUAGACAUUGGCAAUACAAGGCUUGUCAUAUCUACAGUUUGCGGACGACACCCUUAUAUUCAGUUCAGACUCUUUACAUAGCAUGCAGAACAUUAAACGUAUCCUAUUAUGCUUUGAACUUGUCUCGGGAUUGAAGGUCAAUUUUUAUAAAAGCAGCAUUGUGGGUGUGGGUGUAGGUGUAGCAGCUCAUACAUGUAACUUCACGGCUCAGCUUCUCAGAUGCAAGCAGGAUCAGUUGCCUCUCAUAUAUCUUGGACUCCCCAUCGGUGGAAACCUGGGCAGAGCUACAAUGUGGAAUCCUAUUUUACGCAAUAUCAGUUUCCGGUUGGCUUCGUGGAAAUGCAGGUUCUUAUCAAUUGGGGGCCGUUUGUGCUUGAUUAAAUCUGUGCUCAACAAUCUCCCCAUCUACUACCUAUCUAUGUUCCCCAUGCCUGCUUCGGUUGCCUCCAUAAUUGAUCAGAAACUUCGAUCCUUCCUCUGGUCUGGAAAUGAGGAAAGACACAAAAUAUGCAAUGUCAGUUAGGCCACUGUUACUCUUCCAAAACAAGCGGGUGGUCUUGGGAUUGGUCCCUUAAGGGAUAAAAACACAGCUCUGCUCUUUAAAUGGUUAUGGAGGUUUGGGUCGGAGGAAUCAAGCUUGUGGAAGGAUGUGAUCAAAAGCAUCCACAACACCAAUUGCUCUAAACUGCUGCUGCAAGCUCCUAUUCCAGGAGCUGCAACUACAUGGUCCCGGAUUGUCAAUCAUUGUGUGAGAAAUAAUAAGCUGCAGGAUAUUGUGAAUGAGCAAUCUCUGGUUCUUAUCGUAAAUGGCAAGAAGACUAAGUUUUGGCUUGACUGCUGGCUUAAUAACCACUGUUUAGCAGAGCACUUCCCUACUCUUUUCCAAUUAUCCAAUGACAAAGCAGCUAACAUUGCUAAGAUGGGAAUGUGGGAAGGGUAUGAGUGGAUUUGGGUUUUUUCCUGGAUACGUUCACUACGGGGGCGCAACAUUGGCUUGCUCGAUCAGCUUUAUACAAUCCUAUCGACUGUACUCAUGGACAAAGAUGGAGAGGAUAGACUAAUAUGGAAGGACAAUAAUUCAGGAAGAUUUUCAGUUAAAUCUCUCUAUGGAUUGUUAAGCUCAAAGCCUUCCACAAACAAUGCCUUCUCGUUUGCUGGAAUUUGGAAAGGUAUUGUCCCUCCUAAGGUAGAGAUCUUUUGCUGGAUGGCUAUCAUUAACAGAAUCAACACCCGAUGUAUGCUAGUUCGAAGAGGUAUAUUGGGUAGCUCAGAAUCAAAUUGCCCAAUCUGCCUAGUGGAGGCAGAAUCGGUGGACCAUAUCCUGCUACACUGCCAUAAGCAUUGACUCAUUUGGUCCAAAAUCAUUAAGUGGUGGGGUUUAUUUUGGUGUUGCCCAAAGAGCUUCUCAUAUUUGUGGUCUCAAUGGACUUCCAUGGUGCAUGGUCAUUUUCAGAGGAAGGUGUGGCUGAUGUUGUUCUUCUUAGUGGCAUGGUCUCUUUGGCUACUUCAAAAUGAUCUGAUCUUCCAACAGCAGACACCUGACUAUGAUUCAAUAUUCUUUCUUAUUAUCACCCGUCUAUGUCUAUGGCUAAAAGCUAUCCAUUCUGAUUUCCCAUACUCCCCUUCAGAUCGGCAGAUGGCUUACUACGGUGGUCCAAUGCCCACUCUUUCAGGAUUAAUAAUAUGUGGUCUCCUCCUAUGAUUAAUAGCCUCAAAUGGAACGUUGAUGGCUCGUCUCUUGGUAAGCCAGGCCCCUCUGGAAUAGGUGGUGUACUGUGAAAUCAUCAUGGACAUCUUCUCGGUAUGUUCUCUGUUCCAGUUGGUAUUUUAGACUCUAAUAUUGCUGAGUUAAGGGCUAUUGUCAAAGCCAUUGAACUUUCAACAUCUAAUUGUCUCUUCCACCAUCAACACCUCAUCAUAGAAUCUGACUCUGUCAAUGCUAUUAGCUAGAUGAAUAAGCCUCACAGCCGUCCCUAGAAGCAUCAUAAUCUGUUCUCCUCUGUUAAUAGGCUGAAAGCAUAUUUUGGUUCAAUCACCUUCUCCCAUAUUUUUUGUGAAAGUAAUUGCAUGGCAGACUGCAUGGCUAAACAAGGAGUGCAAAGAUCCAGUGAAUUUGUUGCCUGGCUUUGACUCCACCUUUUUC